rnacentral:rRNA from 1 species
UACAGAGGGGGCAAGCGUUGUUCGGAAUUACUGGGCGUAAAGGGCGCGUAGGUGGCCUUCUAAGUCGAACGUGAAAUCCCUGGGCUCAACCCAGGAACUGCGUCCGAGACUGGGAGGCUUGAAUCCGGGAGAGGGAUGCGGAAUUCCAGGUGUAGCGGUGAAAUGCGUAGAUAUCUGGAGGAACACCGGUGGCGAAGGCGGCAUCCUGGACCGGUAUUGACACUUAGGCGCGAAAGCCAGGGGAGCAAACGGG